rnacentral:misc_RNA from 1 species
GGAAUUCAGAAAGCAGCUGACAAUGGAGGCAUGUAUGCAGGAAAGCAAAAUACAGGAAACAAUGGGGGUUAUCAAAAACCCGAAGCUGCACCAGCAGUCACUCAAGCUGUCAAAAUGCAACCAAUAUUAGUGCCUACCAUACCUGUCGAAGAACUGUCAGAAGUAACAGACAACUUUGGAAAUGAUGCUUUGAUUGGAGAGGGUUCAUAUGGGAGAGUAUACUA